rnacentral:rRNA from 1 species
GACGAACGCUGGCGGCAUGCCUAACACAUGCAAGUCGAACGAGAGCGGCGGGUGUGUUCACUGAUUCAUCUGUUGACGGACGGGUGAUUCCCACGUGUGUGACCUGCCGAGCAGAAGGGGGUACCAACACGGGAGGUAUUCUAACAUCCCAUAAGUCUUCGAAACGGGUGGUUCGUCGGUGAGAAUGGCAUCACGCUAGUGUAGAUGGCUGGAGCCGGGGUGAGUUAGAUAGUUGGUGAGGUAAGGGCUUACCAAGGUGGUGAUGCAUAGCGGCCCUGAGAGGGUGAUCAGCCACAUGGGAAGUGAGACACGGUCGACACUCCUACGGGAGGAAGCAGUAGGGAAUCUUACGCAAUGGACGAAAGCCGGAUGGAGCAAAGCCGCGUGAGUGAAGAAGGUUUUCGGAUGGUAAAGCGCUGUAGGUAGGGAGGAAGGACAGCUAGUUUAACCGUUACGGUCUUGACGGUACCAAAAGAAUAAGCCACGGCUAACUACGUG